GCCCCAGUGCGCCACCCCUGAGCCUGCUGCUGAACCUAAGCUUGGGUCCAGCCCUGCCCUGUGCUGUGUCGGAACUGGAGGACUGUUGUAAGCACUGCAUAAGAUGGCAAAUGCAGCUGUGUCUGGCACCCAGCAAGCACUCGAUCCAACUUGGGCAUCAUUAUUACUUGACCAGGAACUUCUGUGAAACUUGGUUAUGUCAAAAAGAGGAAGAUGAGGAUGACUGGGUCAUGGUCUCUUGUGAUCCCAGCAGGUAGGCUUUGAAUAGAG
rnacentral:lncRNA from 10 species